UCCGUAGGGGGCAAGCGUUGUCCGGAUUUAUUGGGCGUAAAGAGCGUGUAGGCGGCCAGACAGGUCCGUUGUGAAAACUCGAGGCUCAACCUCGAGACGCCGAUGGAAACCGUCUGGCUAGAGUCCGGAAGAGGAGAGUGGAAUUCCUGGUGUAGCGGUGAAAUGCGCAGAUAUCAGGAAGAACACCCGUGGCUAAGGCGGCUCUCUGGUACGGUACUGACGCUGAGACGCGAAAGCGUGGGGAGCGAACAGG
rnacentral:rRNA from 1 species